rnacentral:rRNA from 1 species
CUACGGGCGGCACCAGUGGGGAAUAUUGGGCAAUGCACGAAAGUGUGAUCCAGCAAUGCCGCGUGAGUGAAGAAGGCCUUAGGGUUGUAAAGCUCUUUUACCAGGGAUGAUAAUGACAGUACCUGGAGAAUAAGCUCCGGCUAACUCCGUGCCAGCAGCCGCGGUAAUACGGAGGGAGCUAGCGUUGUUCGGAAUUACUGGGCGUAGAGCGCGCGUAGGCGGCUUUUCAAGUCAGAGGUGAAAUCCCGGGGCUUAACCCCGGAACUGCCUUUGAAACUGGAUGGCUAGAAUCUUGGAGAGGUGAGUGGAAUUCCGAGUGUAGAGGUGAAAUUCGUAGAUAUUCGGAAGAACACCAGUGGCGAAGGCGACUCACUGGACAAGUAUUGACGCUGAGGUGCGAAAGCGUGGGGAGCCAACAGGAUUAGAUACCCUAGUAGUC